UGAACGCGAAGAACCUUACCAAAUCUUGACAUCCUUUGACAACUCUAGAGAUAGAGUCUUCCCCUUCGGGGGACAAAGUGACAGGUGGUGCAUGGUUGUCGUCAGCUCGUGUCGUGAGAUGUUGGGUUAAGUCCCGCAACGAGCGCAACCCUUAAGCUUAGUUGCCAGCAUUAAGUUGGGCACUCUAAGUUGACUGCCGGUGACAAACCGGAGGAAGGUGGGGAUGACGUCAAAUCAUCAUGCCCCUUAUGAUUUGGGCUACACACGUGCUACAAUGGACAAUACAAAGGGCAGCUAAACCGCGAGGUCAUGCAAAUCCCAUAAAGUUGUUCUCAGUUCGGAUUGUAGUCUGCAACUCGACUACAUGAAGCUGGAAUCGCUAGUAAUCGUAGAUCAGCAUGCU
rnacentral:rRNA from 1 species